rnacentral:rRNA from 1 species
UACGGAGGGGGCCAGCGUUGUCCGGAUUUAUUGGGCGUAAAGAGCUCGUAGGCGGUUGGGUAAGUCGGGUGUGAAAACUCAGGGCUCAACUCUGAGACGCCACUCGAUACUGCCCUGACUCGAGUCCGGUAGGGGAGCGUGGAAUUCCCGGUGUAGCGGUGAAAUGCGCAGAUAUCGGGAGGAACACCAGUGGCGAAGGCGGCGCUCUGGGCCGGAACUGACGCUGAGGAGCGAAAGCGUGGGUAGCAAACAGG